AACGAACGCUGGCGGCAUGCCUAACACAUGCAAGUCGAACGAGACCUUCGGGUCUAGUGGCGCACGGGUGCGUAACGCGUGGGAACCUGCCCUUAGGUUCGGAAUAACUCCCCGUAAGGGGUGCUAAUACCGGAUAAUGUCUUCGGACCAAAGAUUUAUCGCCUUUGGAUGGGCCCGCGUUGGAUUAGCUAGUUGGUAGGGUAAAAGCCUACCAAGGCGACGAUCCAUAGCUGGUCUGAGAGGAUGAUCAGCCACACUGGGACUGAGACACGGCCCAGACUCCUACGGGAGGCAGCAGUGGGGAAUAUUGGACAAUGGGCGAAAGCCUGAUACAGCAAUGCCGCGUGAGUGAUGAAGGCCUUAGGGUUGUAAAGCUCUUUUACCCGGGAUGAUAAUGACAGUACCGGGAGAAUAAGCUCCGGCUAACUCCGUG
rnacentral:rRNA from 1 species